rnacentral:snRNA from 1 species
GUUCUCACUUUGGCAGCACAUACACUAAAAUAGGAAUGACACAGAGAAGAUUAGCACGGCCCCUGUGCGAGGAUAACACGCAAAUUCGUGAGCAUUCCAUAUUUUU